rnacentral:rRNA from 1 species
UUUUGUAGGUCGUACCCAUAUUGCUCGCUUGAUCCGUCGUGCUAGGCCGUAAUCUUGCCAGUCCUGUGAGUUGUGGAGCCCAGCUAGAGUUGUUAUCUGCCAAACCAAGACUUACGCUGCCAUUUUUAUCAUACUUUCGAUGUCAUUUAAUAGCCUUAGGGCUAUGCCAGAUAAUUGUAUUCAUCAAUGAUGUAAUCUCAUAUACAUGUGUUUGAUGAAUAUUUUUGUACCUG